UUCCCGUUACUCGAGUCGCUCGAUAUGUGUAUUGAUUCUGUAACUUUAAAGAGAAUCAUAAGUUUUCAUUGUAUGUAACGCACAGCCAGGUGCCUUCCGCUCGAAUAUCUCCAUGUUCCUCAGUAAUCUUUUCCCCCUGAUUUCCAUUCUAUUCAUAAACUCUAGAUUCCUUUCGAUUCUCCCUUCCAUACCGUUAGGUAUUCUCAAUCCAAUCGCAAUCGAAAUCAGCAUCAUUUCCAAUCGAACAUAUUCGUAAAUCCACAUCCAAAUGGCAUCGCAGGUCAAAUGAAACCCAUCAAAGGUAGGCUUCCCUGCCACACGGGAUAACUUCAAGUGUGGAUAUGGUUAUCGUUAAUGAGGAGGUAUCUAUGUUGUCAAAGGCGUCGCCAAGGCGCCAAAGUGGCCUUAUUUUGAACUUGGGCGCCACGCAGUGGGUUAGGAGAUGCCACUUUAAAAAGUGGCGCCCAGGCGUCGCCUUUCUAGGCGCUCAGGCCAAGGCGCCAGUUUGUUGGGCGCCAAAAGUGGCAUUUUAUGCCAAAAAGGAAAAAAAAUAUUGCCAAAAUCUUUUUCAUUAAGUCAUACAUUAAUUUUUUAAAACCCUAAGCUAAUUAUGUAAAGAAACAGAUCGUCCUUAGCUGUUUUUGUUAAUUACUUUAACAAUAGUGAAGGAAAAAAAAUCUUUCCAAAUUUUUUGCAAAUCUUUUUCAUUAAGAUUUAUAAGCUAAUAUAGAAAAUCCUAAGCUAAUUAUCAGUUAUGUCAAGAACAUAAACCUAUGUGGAAAUUAUUGUUCUGCGGCGGCUUCCCCGCGCAUUGCUGCGGCUCGGGAUUUUACACCCAACGCCACGCGGCGCCUUACGCCCAUUACAACACAGGGAGGUAUUCAUACAAACUGUUUCCAUUUAGUUUGUUUGACUGUAAGUCAAUUCUGUUCAAGUAUAGUGUUAAAAUACCCUAUGAGGUGCUCAAAUUUACUGUUGAUCUAAACAAUUGAUUCCACAGGGAGACCAAAUUUCAGCUCUGCUACUACCAAGUCCCAAGACUAACUCAUGAAUCCGAAAAUUGAAGUUAAAUUAAGUUCGUAACUCAUGAAUCCAUAUUUCAGCUCUUCUACUGCCACAAGUACGGGUGAAGAGCUUCAAAUACUCAAAGCAACGGGUUGCCUUGGUGAUGGUUGAAAAAACAGUAAAAAGGUAUGAAAGCAACGAGACAAAUUUGUCAUGCCGCCUUUAACUGUCAAUUCAAAGUAUCGCAAUACAUUUCAAUGGCUAAGUUAAGCCCAUCAAGCGGUCGUGGAGGUGAAGUAGUUUUCCGAGCUAUUUGCAAAUCAGUUCCAACAUGUACAAGCUCAACCAGUCCGUAGACUAGAAAUGUUAGUAGCUGUGUUCAAUAUAACUUAGUUCGGUUGUGAGUCUGGAAUAUUUGUGACUUGGUUCAGAAUUUGUUGAGUUGAUUUAUCCUCCAAAAUUUCAAAUACGGAAUUUAGAUGAAUUAAUCAGAAAACUAUGAUCAAACGAUUAAAAAUUAGUCCCUUUUA